rnacentral:rRNA from 1 species
UAGUCCACACCGUAAACGAUGGAUACUAGACGUCGGGGGACUUACCCCCUCGGUGUCGUAGCAAACGCGUUAAGUAUCCCGCCUGGGAAGUACGGUCGCAAGACUAAAACUCAAAGAAAUUGACGGGGGCCCGCACAAGCGGUGGAGGAUGUGGUUUAAUUCGAUGCAACGCGAAGAACCUUACCUGGUCUUGACAUCCCGCGCUAACCCUAGAAAUAGGGUGUUCCUUCGGGACGCGGUGACAGGUGCUGCAUGGCUGUCGUCAGCUCGUGUCGUGAGAUGUUGGGUUAAGUCCCGCAACGAGCGCAACCCUUGUCGUUAGUUGCCACCAUUUAGUUGGGCACUCUAACGAGACCGCUUGCCGAUAAGGCAGAGGAAGGUGGGGAUGACGUCAAGUCCGCAUGGGCCCUUACGACCAGGGGCUACACACGUCCUACAAUGGCUGGUACAAACCGCUGCGAAGCCGCAAGGUGGGAGCUAAUCGGGAGAAAACCAGUCUCAGUUCGGGAUUGGGAGUCUGGCAACUCGACUCCAU